UUUAGUCCUCUCUAAACUGAACAUUUAACCACGACUAACUCCUGUCUUUGAUGUYCUGUUUUUGUAAUAGAGCUGCAGACAAUCUACAUCCUUGUGCAAGAGGAGAAGUGUUAGACUCUGAUCACCUGAAGAAACGUAGGUCACAGGGACAGUGGUUGCCAGCAUGCCAUGACUGCUUGCAAAGCCAAAUUGAAACUUCAGCAUAGAGCGAAAAGGAGAAGGAUGACACUAGUGAACAUAUAAAAAUGAUCUGGAAGAGAGAUGUCUUUUUGAAUAUUGCUGU
rnacentral:lncRNA from 1 species